UACAGAGGUCCCAAGCGUUUGUUCGGAUUCACUGGGCGUAAAGGGUGCGUAGGUGGCAGGGUAAGUUUGAUGUGAAAUCUCCGAGCUUAACUCGGAAACUGCAUUGAAUACUAUCCUGCUCGAGGGUUGGAAGGGGGACUGGAAUUCUCGGUGUAGCAGUGAAAUGCGUGAUAUCGAGAGGAACACCAGUGGCGAAGGCGAGUCCCUGGACAACACCUGACACUGAGGCACGAAAGCUAGGGGAGCAAACAGG
rnacentral:rRNA from 1 species